CCUACGGGUGGCAGCAGUGAGGAAUAUUGGUCAAUGGACGAGAGUCUGAACCAGCCAAGUAGCGUGAAGGAUGACUGCCUUAUGGGUUGUAAACUUCUUUUAUAUGGGAAUAAAAUGUUCCACGUGUGGGAUUUUGUAUGUACCAUAUGAAUAAGGAUCGGCUAACUCCGUGCCAGCAGCCGCGGUAAUACGGAGGAUCCGAGCGUUAUCCGGAUUUAUUGGGUUUAAAGGGAGCGUAGGUGGAUUGUUAAGUAAGUUGUGAAAGUUUGCGGCUCAACCGUAAAAUUGCAGUUAAAACUGGCAGUCUUGAGGACAGUAGAGGUGGGCGGAAUUCGUGGUGUAGCGGUGAAAUGCUUAGAUAUCACGAAGAACACCGAUUGCGAAGGCAGUUCACUGGACUGCAACUGACACUGAGGCUCGAAAGUGUGGGUAUCAAACAGGUUUAGAUACCCGUGUAGUC
rnacentral:rRNA from 1 species